rnacentral:rRNA from 1 species
UACGUAGGGCGCAAGCGUUGUCCGGAAUUAUUGGGCGUAAAGAGCUCGUAGGCGGUUUGUCGCGUCUGCUGUGAAAGACCGGGGCUCAACUCCGGUUCUGCAGUGGGUACGGGCAGACUAGAGUGAUGUAGGGGAGACUGGAAUUCCUGGUGUAGCGGUGAAAUGCGCAGAUAUCAGGAGGAACACCGAUGGCGAAGGCAGGUCUCUGGGCAUUAACUGACGCUGAGGAGCGAAAGCAUGGGGAGCGAACAGG